UACAGAGGUGGCAAGCGUUGUUCGGAAUUACUGGGCGUAAAGGGCGCGUAGGCGGUUCGGUAAGUCCUGUGUGAAAUCCCUCGGCUCAACUGAGGAACUGCACGGGAGACUGCCGGGCUUGAGUUCGGGAGAGGGAAGCGGAAUUCCAGGUGUAGCGGUGAAAUGCGUAGAUAUCUGGAGGAACACCGGUGGCGAAGGCGGCAUCCUGGACCGGCAUUGACGCUGAGGCGCGAAAGCCAGGGGAGCAAACGGG
rnacentral:rRNA from 1 species